AUUGAACGCUGGCGGAAUGCUUUACACAUGCAAGUCGAACGGCAGCACGGACUUCGGUCUGGUGGCGAGUGGCGAACGGGUGAGUAAUGUAUCGGAACGUGCCCAGUCGUGGGGGAUAACGUAGUGAAAAUUACGCUAAUACCGCAUACGAUCUAUGGAUGACAGCGGGGGAUCGCAAGACCUCGCGCGAUUGGAGCGGCCGAUAUCAGAUUAGGUAGUUGGUGGGGUAAAGGCCCACCAAGCCAACGAUCUGUAGCUGGUCUGAGAGGACGACCAGCCACACUGGAACUGAGACACGGUCCAGACUCCUACGGGAGGCAGCAGUGGGGAAUUUUGGACAAUGGGCGAAAGCCCGAUCCAGCCAUUCCGCGUGCAGGAUGAAGGCCCUCGGGUUGUAAACUGCUUUUGUACAGAACGAAAAGGUUUCUACUAAUACUAGGAGCUCAUGACGGUACUGUAAGAAUAAGCACCGGCUAACUACGUGCCAGCCGCCGCAGUAA
rnacentral:rRNA from 1 species